UUGUGACAGAGCGCCAGUGAGAAGCAAUUUCCCCUCCUUGUCAUUAUUAGAUUAGUGCUUGUAUUAUUUGAGAGAAUAAAUUGGCUACAGUUGAAAUUAAUGCCAUCAGCUAGACUCUAGUACACAUCUCCUUCGCCUCUUCAGCGGGGUCUAAGUUCCUGAUUAGGAAAUGCAAACCCAGUGUGCCAUGGGGUGGGAGGGGGGCCCACCGCCGCUGCCGCUACCAACCGUCAAAUGGAAGUUCUGUUUGCUUGGAGUUGAGCUGUGAGAGUCGGAGUAAUUUCAGAGCCACAUUCUUAACAUAAAAUUAAAAGCGGCACUGAUUUGUAAAAGGUAAAUAACAGAAUUGAGUUCUGACAGAACAUUUUGACUGCUUGAUGACUUUUGGUUUGCUCUGGAGAAAAGGCAGAUAGAUCCGUCCCGUCACCAAUUACCCAAGCAGACUUAAAGCAAACGCUGAAGGAAAGAUUUCCUGAGAAACAUUACAGUUGUUCAGAAUGCAUCCCUGUCCCUCCUUCACUCCAUCCACCAGUGAUUUACUCAUUUAUUUGCCAAAGCAUUUUUAGCCAUAGUUAGUAUAAAAGAUGUGUUCAAAUCAUCCAGAUAUUUUAUCAUUUGCAACAGUUUUAGUUGUAAAUUCCACAAAAAAUGAUAAAAGGACAUAUAAAUCUGGAAUAGUGGACAUGCAAGCAGGAAGCAGAAACUGUAAAAACAUUAUAUAUGCUAGAAACUUCUUUAAACAAUCUAAAGGUUUAUGAUAAAAUAAUGUCUACAAGAUUAAAAGGCUGCAGUGUUUUAAAAAAAGAAAAGAAUAAAACAUAAGCAAAUGUGAAUGUAGAGGCUUGGAAAAAUUGCUAAGUAAAUGCUGACUUGUUUGAGUUAAUGCUAUUCCCAAACUGUCCACUAGGUGGCAUCAUAGCGUGCAACUGCAUGGAGUAGACCAGAGAAAGAAUAAAUCGUCUCAUUGUGAUGCUAGCAGCAGCUCAACUAGCACGUCUGCUGCGUUUCUAUUCCAUACCACAGGCUCCAGUCCUCUCUAUUUUCCGCCAAUCUUUGGGUGUAGCGAGGAAAGGCGCAGCUGAGAGUGAAUUACAGAGUUCUCCACGUCAUUGAAGCCACCGAGACUGACAGUGAAAAGCCGAUAAUGAGCCCUGCGCCCACUGAUCAGACUCCUUCCUGUCAUCCCGACCAGGUUCUUUCUGCGGUUCAGAGGUCAUUUGUCUCGGGUUGCCUCCAACUUCCUGCGUUUGGAUCCUUUGCAUGAAACCCCUUUGUGACACGAGAUUGGAAAAGAAAUGAGGACGAUUCUGCUAAAACUGAAGAGCUUAUUUGCACUCAUGAACAAAGUCGAUCCAAGCUUGUGGUGGAGUAUUCGCCAACAAAGAAUCUUCUCUUUUACACGUGUUACUCGUUUCCUUGUAUUUUCUAGGUUUGGACAGAAAUGAGGUGAGAAGACUUGAAAAAUAAACUGUGGUGUAAAAACAA